rnacentral:rRNA from 1 species
GGGGAAUAUUGCACAAUGGAGGAAACUCUGAUGCAGCGACGCCGCGUGAGGGAAGAAGGUCUUCGGAUUGUAAACCUCUGUCCCUGGUGACGAUAAUGACGGUAGCCAGGGAGGAAGCCACGGCUAACUACGUGCCAGCAGCCGCGGUAAUACGUAGGUGGCAAGCGUUGUCCGGAAUUACUGGGUGUAAAGGGAGCGUAGGCGGGUGCGCAAGUUGAAUGUCAAAUCUACCGGCUUAACUGGUAGCCGCGUUCAAAACUGCGUAUCUUGAGUGAAGUAGAGGCAGGCGGAAUUCCUAGUGUAGCGGUGAAAUGCGUAAAUAUUAGGAGGAACACCAGUGGCGAAGGCGGCCUGCUGGGCUUUAACUGACGCUGAGGCUCGAAAGCGUGGGUAGCAAAC